rnacentral:rRNA from 1 species
UUGGAGGGCAAGUCUGGUGCCAGCAGCCGCGGUAAUUCCAGCUCCAAUAGCGUAUAUUAAAGUUGUUGCAGUUAAAAAGCUCGUAGUUGAAUUUCGGGGUUCUACCGUUGGUCGGGCUAUUGUCUGUACUGGCGUGUAGAAUUUCUACCUUCUGGGGAACUAUCAUGUUAUUAAUUUAGCGUGGUAGGAAACCAGGACCUUUACCUUGAAAAAAUUAGAGUGUUCAAAGCAGGCUUAUGUCUGAAUACAUUAGCAUGGAAUAAUAAAAUAGGACGGUGGUCCUGUUUUGUUGGUUUCUGAAUCACCGUAAUGAUUAAUAGGGAUAGUUGGGGGCAUUAGUAUUCAAUUGUCAGAGGUGAAAUUCUUGGAUUUAUUGAAGACUAACUACUGCGAAAGCAUUUGCCAAGGAUGUUUUCAUUAAUCAAGAACGAAAGUUAGGGGAUCGAAGACGAUCAGAUACCGUCGUAGUCUUAACCAUAAACUAUGCCGACUAGGGAUCGGACGAUGUUAACUCUUCUUGACUCGUUCGGCGCCUUACGGGAAA